AACGAACGCUGGCGGCAGGCCUAACACAUGCAAGUCGAACGCCCUUUUAGGGAGUGGCGCACGGGUGCGUAACGCGUGGGAAUAUACCCUUGAGUAAGGAAUAACGUAGAGAAAUUUGCGCUAAUACCUUAUAAUGACUCCGGUCCAAAGAUUUAUCGCUCAAGGAUUAGCCCGCGUCAGAUUAGAUUGUUGGUGGGGUAACGGCCUACCAAGUCGACGAUCUGUAGGGGGUCUGAGAGGAUGAUCCCCCACACUGGUACUGAGACACGGACCAGACUCCUACGGGAGGCAGCAGUGAGGAAUAUUGGACAAUGGAGGAAACUCUGAUCCAGCCAUGCCGCGUGAGUGAAGAAGGCCUUAGGGUUGUAAAGCUCUUUCAUAUGUGAAGAUAAUGACGGUAGCAUAAGAAGAAGCUCCGGCUAAAUUCG
rnacentral:rRNA from 1 species